AUUGAACGCUGGCGGCAUGCCUUACACAUGCAAGUCGAACGGUAACGCGGGGCAACCUGGCGACGAGUGGCGAACGGGUGAGUAAUGCAUCGGAACGUGCCCGGUAGUGGGGGAUAACUGCUCGAAAGAGCAGCUAAUACCGCAUACGACCUGAGGGUGAAAGGGGGGGAUCGCAAGACCUCUCGCUAUCGGAGCGGCCGGUGUCGGAUUAGCUAGUUGGUGGGGUAAAGGCCCACCAAGGCAACGAUCCGGAGCUGGUCUGAGAGGACGACCAGCCACACUGGGACUGAGACACGGCCCAGACUCCUACGGGAGGCAGCAGUGGGGAAUUUUGGACAAUGGACGCAAGUCUGAUCCAGCCAUGCCGCGUGCGGGAAGAAGGCCUUCGGGUUGUAAACCGCUUUUGUCAGGGAAGAAAUCUUCUGGGUUAAUACCUCGGGAGGAUGACGGUACCUGAAGAAUAAGCACCGGCUAACUACGUGCCAGCCGCCGCAGUAA
rnacentral:rRNA from 1 species